rnacentral:rRNA from 1 species
AGAGUUUGAUCCUGGCUCAGAACGAACGCUGGCGGCAUGCCUAACACAUGCAAGUCGAACGAGACCUUCGGGUCUAGUGGCGCACGGGUGCGUAACGCGUGGGAAUCUACCCUUGGGUUCGGAAUAACAGUUAGAAAUGACUGCUAAUACCGGAUGAUGACUUCGGUCCAAAGAUUUAUCGCCCAGGGAUGAGCCCGCGUAGGAUUAGCUAGUUGGUGGGGUAAAGGCCUACCAAGGCGACGAUCCUUAGCUGGUCUGAGAGGAUGAUCAGCCACACUGGGACUGAGACACGGCCCAGACUCCUACGGGAGGCAGCAGUGGGGAAUAUUGGACAAUGGGCGAAAGCCUGAUCCAGCAAUGCCGCGUGAGUGAUGAAGGCCUUAGGGUUGUAAAGCUCUUUUACCCGGGAUGAUAAUGACAGUACCGGGAGAAUAAGCCCCGGCUAACUCCGUGCCAGCAGCCGCGGUAAUACGGAGGGGGCUAGCGUUGUUCGGAAUUACUGGGCGUAAAGCGUACGUAGGCGGCUUUGUAAGUUAGAGGUGAAAGCCCGGGGCUCAACUCCGGAACUGCCUUUAAGACUGCAUCGCUUGAACGUCGGAGAGGUGAGUGGAAUUCCGAGUGUAGAGGUGAAAUUCGUAGAUAUUCGGAAGAACACCAGUGGCGAAGGCGACUCACUGGACGACUGUUGACGCUGAGGUACGAAAGCGUGGGGAGCAAACGGGAUUAGAUACCCUGGUAGUCCACGCCGUAAACGAUGAUAACUAGCUGUCAGGGCUCAUAAAGUUUUGGUGGCGCAGCUAACGCGUUAAGUUAUCCG